UGCCAGACUCCUACGGGAGGCAGCAGUGGGGAAUAUUGCACAAUGGGGGAAACCCUGAUGCAGCGACGCCGCGUGAGCGAUGAAGUAUUUCGGUAUGUAAAGCUCUAUCAGCAGGGAAGAAAAUGACGGUACCUGACUAAGAAGCCCCGGCUAACUACGUGCCAGCAGCCGCGGUAAUACGCAGGGGGCAAGCGUUAUCCGGAUUUACUGGGUGUAAAGGGAACGUAGACGGCGAUGCAAGCCAGAUGUGAAAGCCCGGGGCUCAACCCCGGGACUGCAUUUGGAACUGUGUGGCUGGAGUGUCGGAGAGGCAGGCGGAAUUCCUAGUGUAGCGGUGAAAUGCGUAGAUAUUAGGAGGAACACCAGUGGUGAAGGCGGCCUGCUGGACGAUGACUGACGUUGAGGCUCGAAAGCGUGGGGAGCAAACAGGAUUAGAUACCCGAGUA
rnacentral:rRNA from 1 species